GGGAUUUGGCCUCAGAGGGCCUCCAAGGUCAGGUUAGGGCUGGAAAUUUCUUUCCUUCUCCUCCUUCCCCAUCACUUUCCAUCCUCUCUCCCUGCUUCCUCUUCCUCUCAUCUCCUCCCGCCCCACCCCAUUACCUCCUGUGAACCAGAGACUGUACCAGGCUCUGGUGUGUAAACCUGAGUGAGACUUUGUCCCUGCCCUCAAAAGCGGCUUAUAAUGUAUGAUCAUUCUAACACGUGGCAGGAACAAUACCGGGACCGUCAGUCUGGGGCCUCUGCAGGGCUCCCAGGAAGAGGCUAUGGUUUGAGCACCAGCCUGUGGGGCAGAGGACGUGUGACUGUAUGACGGAGAGGCCAUGAGAACUAAACAUGACCAGUUACAACACUGGAACACAGGAUUUGGGGUAUUUGAGUCUGUGUUCCUGGACCAUGGCCACUCAGCGUGGGCUCCAGAGCAAACUCAUAUUCCCUUGGAGGUGAGAGCUGGACUUUUGCAUCGACAAUUAUGGUGCUGCAAUGUGGGUGUUCUAGAAGGGUCUCCUGAAUGAAAGAGAAGCAGCUAGACCCACUAAGUCCAAGCCUUACGCCCUUAUCCUCUCAGAUAUGAAAGCAAGUAUUGGAAACAUAAUUUAGCCUCAUUUAAAGAAUAAAAUAAAACCAAAAUCCUUGGCCUAAAGCAACACUGAGAAAACCAUUUUUUCCUCAGAAAAUAUACUGUCCCUUCAGCUAUUUAGCUUUAAAAGGAGGAAGAGAUGUUGACCUUACUUCUGCUUGACCGACUUCAGCUUUCGGUUUUUUUUUGUUACUGAGCUUUUUUUUACAUCAGACAAAGAUGGGGCUGGAAACCUUCUGCCGUCUCCAGGGUGAACCUGGGUCUUAGAUCCUUGAGUCUAUGAUCUGUGCACCACACGUACUCCUGGUGUGCCUGGAGGCCAGAAGAAGGUGUCAGAUGCCUUGGGACUAGUGUUAUGGACAGUAUGAGCCAACAUACGGGUGCUGGGAAUCGAACCCUGGUCUUGUGGAAGAGCCGCCAAUGUUCUUCUUAACCACUGAGCUAUCUCUCCAGGCCUUCAAAAUAUGCUUUUUUCCCAAUGUAACAUUUUUAUUGAUUCUCUGAUAAUUUUACAUCAUGGACCCGGAUCAUAUUGACUUCCCAGUCCUUCCUUGUCCACCUCCCCAUUGUUGUGACCUCACCCCUGCAAAAAAGUAAAAAUAAAAACAAGAAUUUUUUAAAAAGUCUCAUUGACUCCCCAUGGGAAGUCUUUGUUUAGGUGGAAGCCCUACUGAUGUCUGUAUCUAUCCAAAAAGUUUGGGAUGUGUGAAACCUCCAGUUUGGGUUUGUUCCAAACCCAGCCCUCAGGGUGACAUCAGCAGCCACUCCCUUGGAGUUGCCUCAGUCUAGGCUCCACCCCUGGGGGACAUUACUCCGCCCAUGAGAAAGCCUGCCAUUGGUGGCUCCACCUCCAGAGGGCAUUAAAAGGCCCCAGCUAAUGGGUUCCCGUCAGGG